AUCCAGCUGACGAGUCCCAAAUAAGACGAAGCGCGCGUCCUGGAU
rfam:Schistosoma mansoni, Puerto Rico, WGS project CABG01000000 data, contig: 0044